rnacentral:misc_RNA from 1 species
AGUGGUGGUGGUGGUGGUGGUGACAGUGACAAUAGAUACGAUGAUUGUAAAAGCUUUUGGUAAUAUGGAAGUGUGUGUGGGUGGGUGUGUGUGCACGCGUGUGCGUGUUGAAGUAAAUAAAGUAACUGUCAUUACAUAAAUUUUUGUAUGUAGUAGGCAAUAUGUUAAAAAAGCAAUAACGCACUCGCAUAACAUUACAAUAUAUUUGCUUUGUUCAACCAAACGAAGUAAAGAAUCAUAUAACAUAGUAGUGAUUGCAUUGGAGGUUUCAUUAUGUUCUAUCAUAAAUAGCCUAAAGGUAAUUUGAUUAAUAUAAUUAAUAAAACGAUGUCAGUCAGUCUUCACUGUUCUGAUUUUGAAACAACUCUAUGUAGAUGUGCAGAUGUGCCCAAUGGGCCGACUGGCCCUGGGAACCGGAGCCACAAGGCCCCCAAUUCAAGUCCCGUUUCCGGUUCCAUUUCAAUUUUACCAAAUCCAACAAUUGAAAUUAUUUUCAAAUUUUGCGUUUA